rnacentral:lncRNA from 1 species
UUCAUUAAAGAAAGGGCUGCUAAGAAUUACUGCAUGAAGAUUUCUCAAACAAUGCUGUUUUUUUAUUAGAAGUAAAAACCCUUCUUGUAGCCAUAGAUAGAAUUACAUUUCGCCUUUCUUUAUUUGAAAAAAUAUGUUGUCCUUGAAGAAGAUAGAUUACAUCAAUGGGUUUUUUUUAGAAAACAUCCAUUAAUUUCAUUAACAAAGGAGUCUAAUUCUUGAUAUUUUUUCGAUUCAUCCAUUGAGAAAGUAAUAUCUCCAUCUGAAAUUAAGAACUUGGUGCAACACUCUCAAUUUAACGUUUUUAAAAUAGAAUGGGUAACAUAGCCACAUAAAAAAUAAAUGAGCGGCUCCAGACCUUUAAUUUUAUCUAAUUCCAUUGCGGAAUUGGAAGAUAUAAAGCUGAUAAAUGUAGAAACAUCUUCUUCUCUUGUAUAAUUAGACUCUUUUGUAUCGACUAAAAUUGAUGCAAUUGAUAUUAAUUUUAAAAGUAGGCUAACACGAAUUUAUUUUUUUCGCCCUCAAAAAACUGUCGACAACUGAUAUAAAUAUUUCCUUCAACAAGUUAUCUAUACCACCCAAAACACAACACAAUUAAUUGUACGAAGAAAAAUAAACUUAACUUUAUUUUUAUUCAGUAAAUAUGUAGCUAAAUGGGCCAGUCCUAUGAAUGUUUGAUAGGUGGCAUGAAAUGUCUCAGACAAUUAACCACCUCCAUAUUUCUUUGAGGGUGUCUCCCAUUUUUUAAUCCAUUCAGCAAACUUAAUCAAGAAAUCAAUUUGUUCCCGCAUAUUUACAGAAAUAGGUUUUAAUGUAUUGUCUCUCUCUUGGACGUAGAUCGUAUUAAAGUUCACAUUUAUACAAUUUGUUUGAAGCUUCUGAAUGGAUCAUCUUUCGAACACAUAAAGGUUAAGUGCAUUCAAAGUGUACUCGUGAAAAAAACCUUACAAAAAGAUCAACAUUACACUUUUCAACUGGUUGAGGAGCAAUUACUUUACGAUUAAGCUUGUGAGGUAAUUUUAAUCCCUGGACUAGCUCCAUGUAGUAGAUUUGGCUCAUAUGCCCAAAUUCGGCUUCAAGAAUAACAUCUUCAUUUUCUAAAUGUGGACAUGAUAAUUUUCGUCUGCUAGUUAAGUUGGUAUAAAUUUUUUUGAAUAUAUGUACCAAAUCAAAUAACGUGAAUAUUUUUCUUCUGGAAGUGGAAAAAGGAUUCAGAAAAUAUCUAGAAAAAAAGCAAUUUCCAAUUUCAUCCACCUAGAAUUUUCUGCUUGAGGCAUGUGCAUCCGUAAUGGUUGGAACGGGUACUAGACCAACUUUGCUACCAUGCCACUGUACUUCCCAUGUACACUCUUCAAACAAAGUAUGGUUUUAGAAUAGCUUCCAUUCUUAUAACCUCCAAAAAAAUGCCACCACUAACUUCUGCGAGGAAUAGACUUCGUCAAUUAUUAUAGAAACAUACUAGUCUUUUUCAUCCAAUAAUUUAACUUUAGAUUUUAAAUAAUCAAUUGUUGAGACUGGCAUUCCUCUUUGAACUGAGAACACACUUGUUAUUCUUCUUAUACACAAUACAGAUAGCAAGUAAAUAA